GACUUCUCUGAAGGUAGUGAGUUAUCUCAAUUGAUUGUUCAUAGUCAGUUACAGAUUAGACUCCUUGUUUUACUUUUUCCACUCUUCUAACUACAGCACUUGGUUAGUCUUUU
ensembl:misc_RNA Y_RNA Y RNA